rnacentral:rRNA from 1 species
CACGUAGGAGGCGAGCGUUGUCCGGAAUCAUUGGGCGUAAAGAGCGCGCAGGCGGCCCGGCAAGUCGGGUGUGAAAUCCCGGGGCUCAACCCCGGGACUGCAUUCGAUACUGCCGGGCUAGAGGUAGGUAGGGGAGAUCGGAAUUCCUGGUGUAGCGGUGAAAUGCGCAGAUAUCAGGAGGAACACCGGUGGCGAAGGCGGCUAUCUGGACGGUUUCUGACGCUAAGACGCGAAAGCGUGGGGAGCAAACAGG